UACAGAGGGUGCGAGCGUUAAUCGGAAUUACUGGGCGUAAAGCGUGCGUAGACGGUUAUGUAAGUCGGGUGUGAAAGCCCCGGGCUCAACCUGGGAAUGGCAUUCGAGACUGCAUAGCUAGGAUGCGGAAGAGGGAAGCGGAAUUUCCGGUGUAGCGGUGAAAUGCGUAGAUAUCGGAAGGAACAUCAGUGGCGAAGGCGGCAUUCUGGACCAAUACUGACGCUGAGGAGCGAAAGCCAGGGGAGCAAACGGG
rnacentral:rRNA from 1 species